GUGCUGGGCGGAUUUGCGACUAGAGGCAAACCACCGGGCGAUAGACCCCUGCCGCUGGGUGGUAGUGCGAUUUGAGGAAACCGUCGGGCGCCACACUUGUUCCGCCGGGUAGUUGUCUGCCGGGCUUGGGCCUGUUUUCUGUUGCGCUCCUCACCUAUAAAUAGCCGUAUUGCGAGUUUAGAUGCAUUCUUUUGACAGAAGGGGGCGGC
rnacentral:lncRNA from 1 species